rnacentral:ncRNA from 1 species
GAAACGUCGUGAGACAGUUGGUCCCUAUCCGCUGUGCGCGUAGGAGUCUUGAGAAGGGCUGUCCCUAGUACGAGAGGACCGGGACGGACGAACCUCUGGUGUGCCAGUUGUUCUGCCAAGGGCAUGGCUGGUUGGCUACGUUCGGGAGGGAUAACCGCUGAAAGCAUCUAAGCGGGAAGCCUGCUUCGAGAUGAGGACUCCCACCUCCUAGAGAGGGUAAGGCUCCCAGUAG